rnacentral:sRNA from 1 species
AUUGUCAAUCUUUUUUUCUGUAUCUUCAUAUAGAGCUAUAACCACAACCCAUGGCUGGUUCACUUGGCUGCGAAAUUUUUAGCCAAUGAUAAAGAAGUUGAAUCUUUGAUAGCCUUCAACCCUUUCCAUGACAGACCCGCUCCAAGGUUUGUCAAAGCUGACCACUAUCGUUACAUCUUUGCUAAAAUUGGAACUCCUGAGACCUCAAGAGGUCACUGGUGGAAAAGAAAAAAGAUGGACUCCUACCUGCCUGUCGUCUCUUUGUCCAGCCUCCAACCAAUGAUGGAUCAGAUGGGAUGGUCACCUCGCAAAGGUCAUCGCUCCAAGAGGAAAACUUAAACCUUUAGGAAAGUUUGUAUGUGUGGGUGCUCUAUUUAGUAUUGCACGAUGUUCACGUCUGAUGUGUGUGUCUGAUCUAUAUAAUUAUCAUUUCUUUAUAGCAGUGUAUUUAGAACUGUUAUAAUUUUGUUGGAAGCUCAUAAUAAACUUUGUCAAUGCAUCGACA